UGUCCAGCCGGAUAUUGUUACCGCCACGACCCUCCUCUCUGGUUAUAUUCGGAACAACAACAUCUCUGAAGCCAUAAACGUUUUCAAGAAAAUGACAAUUAUUUCUAAUCUGACGUCGGAAGUUUACUCCACCUUCGUGAAAAAUCUCUGCAUCAAAUCACACCCACUUGAAGCUUUUGAUCUUAUAUUCGAAAUGUUGAAGAUUUCCGAUGUCAAAUUGGACGAUAAAACAUCUAACCUGGCCGUCUCUUCACUGCAUCACAUCGGUCAGCUUGCCAAAGCUAGAAAACUCCAA
rnacentral:lncRNA from 1 species